ACCACGGAUUGUUCUGUUUGAAGAAACGGGAAGGCUCGAGAGAGACUCCACCGAGAGAUGAUGUUUAUUAGAGGUCUGACGGGAGUCUGCAGCGGAGAGAGGAACAUUGUUAUACUCUCGGUCUUCCUGGCAUUUUUGAUCGGUGUGUCUGGUGACUCGGGUGAAAUAAAGAAACUGUCCGUUCUGGAGGGAGAUUCUGUUACUUUACACACUAGCAUUACUGAAAUACACAACGUUGAUCUGGUGAUGUGGAUGUAUGGAGCUCAGAGAUCUAUUA